rnacentral:rRNA from 1 species
AUUGAACGCUGGCGGCAGGCCUAACACAUGCAAGUCGAACGAGUGGCGGACGGGUGAGUAAUGUCUGGGAAACUGCCCGAUGGAGGGGGAUCACUACUGGAAACGGUAGCUAAUACCGCAUACCAUCGGAUUUGCCCAGCUGGGAUUAGCUAGUAGGUGGGGUAACGGCUCACCUAGGCGACGAUCCCUACCUGGUCUGAGAGGAUGACCAGCCAAACUGGAACUGAGACACGGUCCAGACUCCUACGGGAGGCAGCAGUGGGGAAUAUUGCACAAUGGGGGCAAGCCUGAUGCAGCCAUGCGGCGUGUAUGAAGAAGGCCUUCGGGUUGUAAAGUACUUUCAGCGAGGAGGCGUUACUCGAAGAAGAAGCACCGGCUAACUCCGUGCCAGCAGCCGCGGUAAUAC